rfam:Caenorhabditis brenneri strain PB2801 C_brenneri-6.0.1_Cont261.4, whole genome shotgun sequence.
UCAAACGGUAUUCUUUGGUUAAUAAUAAGGAUGGCAUCACGACUCAUUAUAUUAUUGCUCAAGAAUACCCUUUGA